GAAGAUCCCUUCUUUAUGGAGUCUUUCAUCACAAACCCAAAUCUUGGAGUAUGGGUGUUUUUCAAAAACCCUCAGAAUACUCCUCUUCAGAGUACUGUGUAACUUCAUAAGGCACUUAAUUACAACUGACAGGCCUGUAUUUACCAAGGUCAUCUUUCUUGCCCUUCUUGAAUACUGGGAUACCGAACAGGCAAAGUUUGGGAUACUGGAGAAACAAAGUAGACUCAUGUCAAGCUCACUACUGGACUUCAGUAGAGCAAACUUUAAUCUUUUUGAGGAUGUGCUUGGUAGAGUAAUGUAAAGGGUGAAGACCUGAAGGGAAGAAGGCACCAAGAAGAGCAAUGCAUCCCAAUAAAGUUCAUCCAUACCAGU